rnacentral:snRNA from 1 species
GUAGAUUUUUUGCACACUUGC